rnacentral:rRNA from 1 species
AGGUCGCGGUGGCCCCUUUGGGAAGGUCACGGCGGCGCCCCGAGAAGGCCGCAGCCCCUAUCCGUGGCCAAGGGUGGAGCCUCUUGUCAGGUCCGGUGGGCGGCGGAGAUCAGGCGGUGGAGGGAGGAGCGGCUCGGCGCCGUGGGGCAAGGCGGCAGCGCGGUGGGAGGAACGGAGGCGGUGCGCCGGGGGGCAGGGCGGCGGCUCGCUGGGAGGCCGGGUGCUGCGCGCCGUGGGGCAGGGCGGUGGUGGUGGCGCGAUUCGGGAGGGCGGCGACGGUGGUGGCCUGAUUCGGGGAGGGUAGCCGCCGAUCGAGGGGGUGGGGGAUUAGGGACGGGAUCGAGGGGGUGCAGGUCUGGGAACGGAUCGUGG